UGGAAAUAUGAAAUGACAGCAGGACAGCACUCCCCUUGGUUAGGAUGGAAGAAGUCCUAAUGCACUUAGGCGUGUUUGAGACUGUCAUUUUAU
rfam:Tyto alba contig30964, whole genome shotgun sequence.